rnacentral:lncRNA from 1 species
GGUAGGGCCAGGAUAAGCGUCGUUGGGGCAGGUGCUGGGUAGAGUCCAGGUUGGCGGGUCCUGGGGCGGGGUCAGCAUAGGGCGAUCCUGGAAGCUGGUCUUCGGAAGCGUCCAGCCCAGUAAAGUCGCCAUUCCCCAUUUUACAGCUGGGGAAACUGAGUUACAGAGCUUUUCUGCACUGAGUCAUCAGGAGCAAAUGCUAGAUCAGAUAGAGUCUCUCUCUCUGCCACCCAGGCCAGAGUGCAGUUGACGCAGGGCAGGGGAGCCCCGAAGUGGAGCAUAGUGUGUCCGGAACUGGUGGGUUCUUGGUCUCCCUGACUUCAAGAAUGAAGCCACGGACCCUCGGGGCGCAGGAAUGGGAGGCAGCAGCUGGGGAAGCCAGAGUCUCUGGC